GCCACUGCCUAGAGGCCUAGGAAGUCCCUCAGUUCUGGGCUUGCCUCACUGCAGGAGGCCACGUGAGCCUCUCCAAGAAAGGACAGCAGCCAGGUGCCUGCUCAUCACGGCUUGUGCGACUGGGGAACUCCAGGGCCCCAGUUCCUGGGAAAGUGUGAAACAUUAGCCAUGCUUUGUUAGCCCUGUCCAAACGGCUGCUGAAAGCUGUGGAAAUCUUCAGUCUCCGGUGAUGAUGCAACCGCCAGAAGAGAUUGAAGCAGUAAGGAUGGAAGAUGGUAGAAGUUACCUCCUGUGUGCUCCUAGCAGCGCUCAGGAAUUCAGAAUGUGUUCGGUAAACACUGAGACUCUAAAAGACUGAGAGAGGAGGUCCAGGUGAGUGUGGAGGGUGGGGACAUUCACCACCGAGUAUUGCUGCUUCUUAGGACAAGGACACCCAAAUGUGAUUAAUCGGCUGGCAUUCAGGAAAGAGCUUCUCAUUUUACAAGCUUGUAUUGAAACCCAGAAGCAAACUUUUGCACCAAAAUUAUGUCACUAGUCACAAAUUAAACGACUGCCCCAAAGUGCAAAGUUUUUGAAGUCUGUAGUGUGCCCCUCCUGAGAACAAGCAGAAACAGAGUGAUCAUGUUCCAAGAAUCUAUAUGAGCCACAAAUAACAUCAUUCCCUUUUUUUCCUCUGGAUAUGGGAAAUCAAAAGCCAUCGUGCUCACUGAUUUUUAUUGAUACUAGCUCAGAAAUGGCAGGGUAAUAACUCACAGCGAGGGUGGCCACUAGGUGCAAUCAUCCUUUCCUUCAUUGUGGACUUGGAGGAUACAAUUUUAUUAUCUCUAGGACUUUGAAGAAAUGAGAAAACUCCAUUAUGCAUUUCUUGAAGCCUUCUCCAUUUAAGUGUGAGCUGAACUUCAUCUGAUCCAGUGUUGGUCACCUCACUGGUGGAACAGAACACCAUCUGCCUCAGAUUUUCCCAAAGGGAGGUGCAGAAUGUGCUUUUUUUGGUAGGCUCUCUAGCUAUGUCGUCUUCCUCUCUCCUCUUGUCUGUCUGUCCUGGCCUGUAAUUGACCUCAUUCACACAUGUUCUUGGGUCCUCUGUUUCUCUAAGAGCAGUUUUGGAAUGCUUGCAUGGAGAAUUAGUUUAGAUUUUUGGCUCGUUAUUUUAUUAACAUAACACAAUGGAAUGCAAUCCUUGCCUCUCUCCAGCCUUGGCAG
rnacentral:lncRNA from 1 species